UACACACCGCCCGUCGCACCAUGGGAGUUGGUUUCACCCGAAGGUGGUGCGCUAACCCGCAAGGGAGGCAGCCAACCACGGUGGGAUCAGCGACUGGGGUG
rnacentral:rRNA from 1 species